rnacentral:rRNA from 1 species
AUUGAACGCUGGCGGCAUGCCUUACACAUGCAAGUCGAACGGCAGCACGGGAGCUUGCUCCUGGUGGCGAGUGGCGAACGGGUGAGUAAUACAUCGGAACGUACCCUGAAGUGGGGGAUAACGUAGCGAAAGUUACGCUAAUACCGCAUAUUCUGUGAGCAGGAAAGAGGGGGAUCGCAAGACCUCUUGCUUUAGGAGCGGCCGAUGUCGGAUUAGCUAGUUGGUGAGGUAAAGGCUCACCAAGGCGACGAUCCGUAGCGGGUCUGAGAGGAUGAUCGCCACACUGGGACUGAGACACGGCCCAGACUCCUACGGGAGGCAGCAGUGGGGAAUUUUGGACAAUGGGCGCAAGCCUGAUCCAGCCAUGCCGCGUGAGUGAAGAAGGCCUC